CCGGCUCAGAGCGAACGCUGGCGGCAGGCCUAACACAUGCAAGUCGAACGGACCCUUCGGGGUUAGUGGCGGACGGGUGAGUAACACGUGGGAACGUGCCUUUAGGUUCGGAAUAGCUCCUGGAAACGGGUGGUAAUGCCGAAUGUGCCCUUCGGGGGAAAGAUUUAUCGCCUUUAGAGCGGCCCGCGUCUGAUUAGCUAGUUGGUGAGGUAAUGGCUCACCAAGGCGACGAUCAGUAGCUGGUCUGAGAGGAUGACCAGCCACAUUGGGACUGAGACACGGCCCAAACUCCUACGGGAGGCAGCAGUGGGGAAUCUUGCGCAAUGGGCGAAAGCCUGACGCAGCCAUGCCGCGUGAAUGAUGAAGGUCUUAGGAUUGUAAAAUUCUUUCACCGGGGACGAUAAUGACGGUA
rnacentral:rRNA from 1 species